UGGGGGAUAUUGCACAAUGGAGGGAACUCUGAUGCAGCGAUGCCGCGUGAGGGAAGACGGUCUUCGGAUUGUAAACCUCUGUCUUCAGGGACGAACACAAUGACGGUACCUGAGGAGGAAGCUCCGGCUAACUACGUGCCAGCAGCCGCGGUAAUACGUAGGGAGCAAGCGUUGUCCGGAAUUACUGGGUGUAAAGGGAGUGUAGGCGGGUCUCCAAGUCCGUUGUCAAAUCUAUCGGCUCAACCGAUAGCCGCGGCGGAAACUGGAGGUCUUGAGUGAAGUAGAGGCAGGCGGAAUUCCUAGUGUAGCGGUGAAAUGCGUAGAUAUUAGGAGGAACACCAGUGGCGAAGGCGGCCUGCUGGGCUUUAACUGACGCUGAGGCUCGAAAGUGUGGGGAGCAAACAGG
rnacentral:rRNA from 1 species